UGAAUUAAUGUGAACUGCAUACUGCUUUGAACAUCGACAUCUUGAACGCACAUUGCGGCCACGGGUUUUCCUGUGGCCACGCCUGUCCGAGGGUCGGCU
rnacentral:rRNA from 2 species